rnacentral:rRNA from 1 species
UACGUAGGGUGCGAGCGUUGUCCGGAAUUAUUGGGCGUAAAGAGCUCGUAGGCGGUCUGUCACGUCGGGAGUGAAAACUCGGGGCUUAACCCCGAGCCUGCUUCCGAUACGGGCAGACUAGAGGUAUGCAGGGGAGAAUGGAAUUCCUGGUGUAGCGGUGAAAUGCGCAGAUAUCAGGAGGAACACCGGUGGCGAAGGCGGUUCUCUGGGCAUUACCUGACGCUGAGGAGCGAAAGUGUGGGGAGCGAACAGG